GAGAUGGGAAUGAAGACUGGGAGGCUGACCAGAGCCAGCCAGCGCAUGUGGGGACCCAGGUGUGCAGACAGAGUCCACUCUGCGUGUGCACACUUAUACGUGGUUCACAGAGCUUCUCCCAUUUGAGUGACCUCACCCACUCCUCACAGGAUAGCUCUCCAAGGUGAGUCUCACUGUCACCCCGCAUAAGGAGACUGAUGCUCAGAAAGGUAAGUGAUUUCCCCAGUAUAGGUCGGGGAGGGUCUGGAAUAGUGACAAAGUGGUGGGACCAGAGCCAGGGACCUGCCACUAGGAAAAGAGGGCAGUUAAGGCAAGCACAUGGAGGAGAGAGAGGAAUGGAAGAGGUGAAGUUAGGGGAGGGUGAGAGGGAGAAAGAGAAGGCAGCAUCAGAGUAGACGGUGUGUUUUAUCCAUAAACCCAGACUUGGGGAAAAUAGAUUUUCUUCUGUAUUAUUAUUUCUGUAUAUUUUAAAUCAAGUUUUAUUUUGAACAGCAGUAUAACUCCAUAACAAAAAAAUAAGCCAAAAAGGAAAAAAAAAUAAUUCCAUCUCUGGCAUUUGCUUCUCGUCUGAGCAGGUGGUCCACAGCCACUCAAAGUGUGGUCCACGGCCCGGUGCUGGUCUGCCAGAGAUUCGCCACUGUUUUUCAGCACAACAGGCCCAGAAAAUGAGAGUAAAUGUUUAGAAACUCUUACAGCAAUUGGACAUGGUUGUUUUCUGCCUGUUGAAUCUAUGAUUUAAAAGUUGGGCUUGUAUUUCAUGUAUCUGCUUUUCAUUUCAUUUUUAUUAUUUAUUUAUUUUAUUAUUUUUUUUUGAGACCAAGUCUCGCUCUGUCACCCAGGCUAGAGUGCAGUGUCACAAUCUCUGCUCACUGCAACCUCUGCCUCCCCGGUUCAAGCAAUUCUCCUGCCUCAGCCUCCCGAGUAGCUAGGAUUACAGGGGUGUAACACCACGCCCAGCUAAUUUUUGUAUUUUUAGUAGAGACGGGGUUUCACCAUGUUGGCUAGUCUGUUCUCGAACUCCUGACCUCAGGUGAUCUGCACCUGCACCGUCUUAGCCUCCCAAAGAGCUGGGAUUACAGGCAUGAGCCACCAAGCCUGGCCUGAUAACUUUUUAUUUUGAAAUAAUAAUAGACUCACAGGAAAUCACGAAAAAAGUACGUAAAAUCCCAUGAGCUGUUUACCCAGAUUCUUCCAAUGAUGACAUCUUAUAUAACAAUAAUACAAUACCCAAACCAGGAAAUGGACAUUCAUUUUCCUAAUAGGUAAUGAUUUUGAACAUCUUUUCCUGUGUUUUCUGCAACCCACAUAUCCUCUUUGGUGGACUGUCUGUUCGUGUCUUCUAGUUCUAUUUGGAUUUUUUUUCUGUUGAGUUUUGAGAGUUCUUUAUGUAUUUUAGAUACAAGUCCUUUGAUGGAUAUACAUUUAAUCAUUUAUUUUUACGAUAUUUUACAAAACUUUACAUUUGGGAUGGAUUGGAAAUUUUAUAAAAUCAAACUGGUCAAUCACCACUGACAGUUUGAGAAGCAAUCUUAGCAUCUUCUUGCCUUAAUGAAACAACCGCACCUGCACCAUAUUGAGUCCUGACUUUUUUCCCCAGAUAAUUUAUUAUAAAUAAUUUCUCCAACUUGCUCCAUAUCUUUAUAACCACCACUUACAAGGUUUGCACACCUUCCAUAGAGCAGCUGUACUGAGAUUUACUCAGCCAAUUCCCAAGGUUAGACAUGACGUUAUCACCCAUUUCAGGGUCUUAGAGAAACUCUGAGUCACUCACCUUUGGUCACAAGGCUUUCUCAAACAUUUUGGAUAGAAUGUUCUUAGUUUCCAUUCUCACCAUUAUAGUUCAACUUGCUCUUUCAUUAGAAUUUAGGCAUCAAGGUCAGACCAGAUUGCUGGUUGGCCACAUUCUGUGUUCUCAUGGAAACAAAAGAUCAGCGGCACUGAAUCCAAACCACCCGAGCAACCCGGCUUUUCCAGUCCCAGAUGCUUGAUGGCACGGCAACAGUGGAGUCACUAAGAAAUUUUACUUUAGUUCUAUCACAGCAAACUCCAAACCAGGGGUAGCAGUCAUCUGAAAAAUGCAGAGACUAUUUUAAAGGACAGACAAGUGCCUCAGAUAGCAUCAGAGAACAAUGCCUAAGGUGCAUGGAUGGAAGCCAGUCUGCACAAAAUGCUGAAAAUAGGUCGUUCUGAGCAAGGGGGUCAUGGAGAAGAAAGUACCAGCCCUCCAUUCCUUACGCCCACUAGGGCUUAUGUCUGGGAUCCUCACAGAGACUAGAAGUGUCUCCCAUCCCCAUCGCAGUCCCUGGCACUUCCUGGAUUGUCGAGCGGCUCCCUGCCUCUGCCCUUUUGUAUUCGGAGCUACAGCCUUGCCUCCCCUGUUCCCACCACCCUGACCACCCCUCAACACCAUCCCGCUGUCAGCUCCGCCGCCAACUGAGGCGACACCUGUUCAUGGAAACCCUGUGAGCCUCUUCUGUAUCCAUACACAAUAGGUAAUGUUGUUUUACGUGUUUCAAAACAUCAGUGUUGUCCAACAG
rnacentral:lncRNA from 1 species